rnacentral:rRNA from 1 species
ACGAACGCUGGCGGCGUGCUUCACACAUGCAAGUCGAACGGAAAGGCCCUGCUUUUGUGGGGUGCUCGAGUGGCGAACGGGUGAGUAACACGUGAGUAACCUGCCCUUGACUUUGGGAUAACUUCAGGAAACUGGGGCUAAUACCGGAUAGGAGCUCCUGCUGCAUGGUGGGGGUUGGAAAGUUUCGGCGGUUGGGGAUGGACUCGCGGCUUAUCAGCUUGUUGGUGGGGUAGUGGCUUACCAAGGCUUUGACGGGUAGCCGGCCUGAGAGGGUGACCGGCCACAUUGGGACUGAGUUACGGCCCAGACCCUUCCGGGAGGCAGCAGUGGGGAAUAUGGAACAAUGGGGGGAAGCCUGAUGCAGCACCGCCGCGUGCGGAUGACGGCCUUCGGGUUGUAAACCGCUUUCGCCUGUGACGAAGCGUGAGUGACGGUAAUGGGUAAAGAAGCACCGGCUAACUACGUG